CCUACGGGUGGCUGCAGUGGGGAAUAUUGGACAAUGGGCGAAAGCCUGAUCCAGCCAUGCCGCGUGUGUGAAGAAGGCCUUCGGGUUGUAAAGCACUUUCAGUGGGGAAGAAAGCCUUGGGGCUAAUACCCUCGAGGAAGGACAUCACCCACAGAAGAAGCACCGGCUAACUCCGUGCCAGCAGCCGCGGUAAUACGGAGGGUGCGAGCGUUAAUCGGAAUUACUGGGUGUAAAGCGCGCGUAGGCGGUCUGAUAAGCCGGUUGUGAAAGCCCCGGGCUCAACCUGGGAACGGCAUCCGGAACUGUCAGGCUAGAGUGCAGGAGAGGAAGGUAGAAUUCCCGGUGUAGCGGUGAAAUGCGUAGAGAUCGGGAGGAAUACCAGUGGCGAAGGCGGCCUUCUGGACUGACACUGACGCUGAGGUGCGAAAGCGUGGGUAGCAAACAGGAUUAGAUACCCCUGUAGUC
rnacentral:rRNA from 1 species